CCAAUCCCAUCCGGCAGAGCGUGGCCCGCAGCCGGAAGCGAGUCUUGCGUGUCGCGGUGGGGCAACCCACACCACGAAGCGUAGACCGCGAGCACUGAGGCCCGGCGAUGGAGCCCCGAAAGGGUUUAAGUUAG
rfam:Fimbriiglobus ruber strain SP5 contig05, whole genome shotgun sequence.